GAUGAACGCUGACAGAAUGCUUAACACAUGCAAGUCUUUGGCGAAGCUGUGCUUGCACAGCCUAGCCAAGGCGGACGGGUGAGUAACGCGUAAGGAACUUGCCCUGCAGUCAGGGAUAACAGACGGAAACGACUGAUAAGACCUGGUAAAGUCAGGCGGACUCAUGUCCAGCCUGAUGAAAAGAGAUGCUGCAGGAGAGCCUUGCAUCCUAUUAGCUUGUUGGUGGGGUAACGGCCCACCAAGGCGAUGAUAGGUAGCCGGCCUGAGAGGGUGGACGGCCACAAGGGGACGGAGAUACGGCCCUUACUCCUACGGGAGGCAGCAGUGGGGAAUAUUGGACAAUGGGGGCAACCCUGAUCCAGCAAUUCGGUGUGCACGAUGAAGGUUUUCGGAUUGUAAAGUGCUUUCAGCAGGGAAGAAAAAAUGACGGUACCUGCAGAAGAAGCGACGGCUAAAUACGUG
rnacentral:rRNA from 1 species